AUUGAACGCUGGCGGCAUGCUUUACACAUGCAAGUCGAACGGCAGCGCGGGCUUCGGCCUGGCGGCGGGUGGCGAACGGGUGAGUAAUACAUCGGAACGUGCCCAGUAGUGGGGGAUAGCUCGGCGAAAGCCGGAUUAAUACCGCAUACGACCUGAGGGUGAAAGCGGGGGAUCUUCGGACCUCGCGCUAUUGGAGCGGCCGAUGGCAGAUUAGCUAGUUGGUGGGGUAAAGGCCUACCAAGGCGACGAUCUGUAGCUGGUCUGAGAGGACGACCAGCCACACUGGGACUGAGACACGGCCCAGACUCCUACGGGAGGCAGCAGUGGGGAAUUUUGGACAAUGGGCGAAAGCCUGAUCCAGCAAUGCCGCGUGUGUGAUGAAGGCCUUCGGGUUGUAAAGCACUUUUGGCGGGAACGAAAAGGACUGUGCAAAUACCACGGUUCGAUGACGGUACCCGCAGAAUAAGCACCGGCUAACUACGUG
rnacentral:rRNA from 1 species